UGCAGCAACGCCGCGUGAGGGACGACGGCCACGGGUUGUAAACCUCUUUUAGCAGGGAAGAAGCGAAAGGACGGUACCUGCAGAAAAAGCACCGGCUUACUACGUGCCAGCAGCCGCGGUAAUACGUAGGGUGCAAGCGUUGUCCGGAAUAUUGGGCGUAAAGAGCUCGUAGGCGGUUUGUCGCGUCUGCUGUGAAAUCCCGAGGCUCAACCUCGGGUCUGCAGUGGGUACGGGCAGACUAGAGUGCGGUAGGGGAGACUGGAAUUCCUGGUGUAGCGGUGGAAUGCGCAGAUUUCAGGAGGAACACCGAUGGCGAAGGCAGAAUUCUGGGCCGCUACUGACGCUGAGGAGCGAAAGGGUGGGGAGCAAACAGGCAUAGAUACCCUGGUAGUCCAUCCCGUAAACGUUGGGCGCUAGAUGUGGGGACCAUUCCACGGUUUCCGUGUCGUAGCUAACGCAUUAAGCGCUCCGCCUGGGGUGUACGGCCGCAAGGCCUAAACUCAAAGGAAUUGACGGGGGCCCGCACAAGCGGCGGAGCACGCGGAUUAAUUCGAUGCAACGCGAAGAACCUUACCAAGGCUUGACAUAUACGUAUAACGGGGCCAGAAACGGUCAACUCUUU
rnacentral:rRNA from 1 species